GCGGGAGUCAAAGCAGCUGCAGAGGAGGAAGGACGGCCGCUCAGCCCCGCGUCGCCGUUCCUCUUCCCUCGCCCUGCGAGCAUCUGAUUUGUAUGCCAGCUUUUGUUCAGGAGCUGAAGGCAAUUUUUGUAGGGCUCAUUCCGCUCGUUUUCCCCACCACUACAACUUGUGAGGUUCACAUAGAAACCUAGGUGCUGCUGCACUUGGACCACUUCCAAAGCAUUUCUUCCAAAGAGUGCACAGCCCCAGUAACAUUUACCAGGAAAAGAGAACGUGUCGCCCUCCAGAUAUUGACCAUAACGCCUAGCAUGCCUCAUUACUGGCUAGACUUGAUGUGGCUCUGGGAAUUGUAGUUGUUCAGCAUCUGGAAGUCUGGAAGUCCCUAUCCCUGAUAUAAUGUAAUGGGGAAGAGGAGCUGAAGAAGCAGAAGAGCCACCUGAGUCUAUAGAUUGGGCCAAACAGAAUGUCUGCCAAAAGAAAAUGUUGUAGAAGGUGCUUUGCUAGUCAGACUUGAAGAAGGAUUGA